rnacentral:rRNA from 1 species
AGCAUAUAAGUAAGCGGAGGAUAAGACACUAAACAGGAUUCCCCCAGUAAUGGCGAAUGAACAGGGAAAAGCUCAGCAUGGAAAUUGGGGCCUCUGGCCUUGAAUUGUAGUCUCGAGAUCUAUUGCCAACGAGGGCGCAGAUGUAAGCCUCUUGGAAAAGAGCAUCAACGAGGGUGAGAGUCCCGUUUGUCAUCUGCAGUCCCUCGUGCACGGUAUGUGUUCUCAGAGUCACGCUCCUCGGGAUUGGAGCGCAAAGUGGGUGGUAAAUUUCAUCUAAAGCUAAAUAUUGGUUCGAGACCGAUAGCAAACAAGUACCAUGAGGGAAAGGUGAAAAGGACUUUGAAAAGAGAGUUAAAAGUGCCUAAAAUUGCUGAAAGGGAAGCGAAUGGAACCAGUGUUCUCUUGGUGAGAUUGUUGCGUGCUACUGUGAUGGCUUUGCUGCUUCAACGCAAGUGUCGCGGUGAGUUCUGAUCCGGACGCGCGCGGUGGUUCUUGCCUUGCGUGCCAUCGCCAGUUCAACGUUGAGGAAAACUCCAAGGACAUGGCAGGUUACCUCCGGGUGAGCGAAUGUCCUUGGCUGAACUCAUCUAUGAACUGAACUUUGCAUGCCUGGUUGAAGUGUUUCAGCUUGUGUUACUCUGCGUUCAGUGGGGGCACGAGUGUUUGUAUGCAUUCCCGGGCAUUAUUGACGAUGACAAAAUGGUUUUAUUCGACCCGUCUUGAAACACGGACCAAGGAGUCUAACAUAUGUGCAAGUUCACGGGCGGGUAAACCUGCUUGCGCAAUGAAAGUAACUGCUGGGAUAUUUGCACCAGCAACCGACCAAUCGAUUGUGAGAGGUUUGAGUAUGAGCAUAUAUGUUAGGACCCGAAAGAUGGUGAACUAUGCUUGAGAAGGGUGAAGUCAGGGGAAACUCUGAUGGAGGCUCGUAGCGAUACUGACGUGCAAAUCGUUCGUCAUACUUGGGUAUAGGGGCGAAAGACUAAUCGAACCAUCUAGUA